rnacentral:rRNA from 1 species
GACGAACGCUGGCGGCGUGCUUAACACAUGCAAGUCGAACGGAAAGGCCCUGCUUUUGUGGGGUGCUCGAGUGGCGAACGGGUGAGUAACACGUGAGUAACCUGCACUUGACUUUGGGAUAACUUCAGGAAACUGGGGCUAAUACCGGAUAGGAGCUCCUGCUGCAUGGUGGGGGUUGGAAAGUUUCGGCGGUUGGGGAUGGACUCGCGGCUUAUCCGCUUGUUGGUGGGGUAGUGGCUUACCAAGGCUUUGACGGGUAGCCGGCCUGAGAGGGUGACCGGCGACAUUGGGACUGAGGUACGGCCCAGACUCCUACGGGAGGCAGCAGUGGGGAAUAUUGCACAAUGAGCGGAAGCCUGAUGCAGCAACGCCGCGUGCGGGAUGACGGCCUUCGGGUUGUAAACCGCUUUCGCCUGUGACGAAGCGUGAGUGACGGUAAUGGGUAAAGAAGCACCGGCUAACUACGUG